UACGGAGGGGGCUAGCGUUGUUCGGAAUUACUGGGCGUAAAGCGCGCGUAGGCGGACCUGCAAGUCGGGGGUGAAAGCCCGAGGCUCAACCUCGGAACUGCCUUCGAUACUGCGGGUCUCGAGUCCGGGAGAGGUGAGUGGAAUUCCUAGUGUAGAGGUGAAAUUCGUAGAUAUUAGGAAGAACACCAGUGGCGAAGGCGGCUCACUGGCCCGGUACUGACGCUGAGGCGCGAAAGCGUGGGGAGCAAACAG
rnacentral:rRNA from 1 species